GAUGAAGAACGUAGCGAAAUGCGAUAAGUAGUGUGAAUUGCAGAAUUCCGUGAAUCAUCGAAUCUUUGAACGCACAUUGCGCCUUCUGGUAUUCCGGAAGGCAUGCCUGUUCGAGAGUCAUUAACAACCGUUUCGAUCCCUUUCUUUCAGAAAUUACAAAGAGGAAAAGGGUUUGGUUAUGGUGGAGGAGGGAAAGGGAGCGUUUAGCCUGUAAAAAAAGAGGCUGUGUUCCGCCUCCCCCCCAAAAUUGUACAGGCGGUCGUGUGCGCCCACGCAUCGAGGUGUUGUAAAAGCUGCCACGGCACUUUUCACCUGUGCAGUGCGAGAUUGGCCAGCCGGAUUAAAAACCCCUCCAAACAAUCAAAGGUUGACCUCGGAUCAGGUAGGGAUACCCGCUGAACUUAAGCAUAUCAAUAAGCGGAGGA
rnacentral:misc_RNA from 1 species